rnacentral:rRNA from 1 species
CCUACGGGAGGCAGCAGUGGGGGAUAUUGGACAAUGGGGGAAACCCUGAUCCAGCGACGCCGCGUGAGUGAAGAAGUAUUUCGGUAUGUCAAGCUCUAUCAGCAGGGAAGAAAGAAAUGACGGUACCUGAGUAAGAAGCCUCGGCUAACUACGUGCCAGCAGCCGCGGUAAUACGUAGGGGGCAAGAUUUAUCCGGACUUACUGGGGGUAAAGGUAGCGUAGAUGGGAAUGCAAGUCUGGAGUGAAGGGCGGGGGCGAACCCCCCGGAGUGCUCUGGAAACUGUGUAACUGGAGUGCAGGCGAGGCAGGAGGAAGUCCUAGGGUAGCGGUGAAAUGCAUAGAUAGUAGGAAGAACA